GACGAACGCUGGCGGCGUGCUUAACACAUGCAAGUCGAACGGAAAGGCCCUGCUUUUGUGGGGUGCUCGAGUGGCGAACGGGUGAGUAACACGUGAGUAACCUGCCCUUGACUUUGGGAUAACUUCAGGAAACUGGGGCUAAUACCGGAUAGGAGCUCCUGCUGCAUGGUGGGGGUUGGAAAGUUUCGGCGGUUGGGGAUGGACUCGCGGCUUAUCAGCUUGUUGGUGGGGUAGUGGCUUACCAAGGCUUUGACGGGUAGCCGGCCUGAGAGGGUGACCGGCCACAUUGGGACUGAGAUACGGCCCAGACUCCUACGGGAGGCAGCAGUGGGGAAUAUUGCACAAUGGGCGGAAGCCUGAUGCAGCAACGCCGCGUGCGGGAUGACGGCCUUCGGGUUGUAAACCGCUUUCGCCUGUGACGAAGCGUGAGUGACGGUAAUGGGUAAAGAAGCAUCGGCCAACUACGUG
rnacentral:rRNA from 1 species